UACGAAGGGUGCGAGCGUUGUCCGGAAUUAUUGGGCGUAAAGAGCUUGUAGGUGGCUCGGUGCGUCGGGAGUGAAAACCUGCGGCUUAACCGCAGGCCUGCUUCCGAUACGGGCGAGCUAGAGUUCGGCAGGGGAGACUGGAAUUCCUGGUGUAGCGGUGGAAUGCGCAGAUAUCAGGAGGAACACCGGUGGCGAAGGCGGGUCUCUGGGCCGAUACUGACGCUGAGACGCGAAAGCGUGGGGAGCGAACAGG
rnacentral:rRNA from 1 species